rnacentral:ncRNA from 2 species
UGAGAUCACUUUGAAAGCUGAUU